rnacentral:rRNA from 1 species
GGGUACCUACCACCCUUUGUUUAUUACACUUUGUUGCUUUGGCAAGCCUGCCCUCGGGCUGCUGGCUCCGGCCGGCGAGCGCUUGCCAGAGGACCUAAACUCUGUUUGUCUAUACUGUCUGAGUACUAUAUAAUAGUUAAAACUUUCAACAACGGAUCUCUUGGUUCUGGCAUCGAUGAAGAACGCAGCGAAAUGCGAUAAGUAAUGUGAAUUGCAGAAUUCAGUGAAUCAUCGAAUCUUUGAACGCACAUUGCGCCCCCUGGUAUUCCGGGGGGCAUGCCUGUCCGAGCGUCAUUACAACCCUCAAGCUCAGCUUGGUAUUGGGCCCCGCCGACCCGGCGGGCCCUAAAGUCAGUGGCGGUGCCGUCCGGCUCCGAGCGUAGUAAUUCUUCUCGCUCUGGAGGUCCGGUCGUGUGCUCGCCAGCAACCCCCAAUUUUUUUCAGGUUGACCUCGGAUCAGGUAGGGAUACCCGCUGAACUUAAGCAUAUC